UGCCUACGGGGCGCAGCAGUGGGGAAUAUUGCACAAUGGGGGAAACCCUGAUGCAGCGACGCCGCGUGAGUGAAGAAGUAUUUCGGUAUGUAAAGCUCUAUCAGCAGGGAAGAUAAUGACGGUACCUGAGUAAGAAGCCCCGGCUAACUACGUGCCAGCAGCCGCGGUAAUACGUAGGGGGCAAGCGUUAUCCGGAUUUAUUGGGUUUAAAGGGUGCGCAGGCGGAAGAUCAAGUCAGCGGUAAAAUUGAGAGGCUCAACCUCUUCGAGCCGUUGAAACUGGUUUUCUUGAGU
rnacentral:rRNA from 1 species